UUGUGAAUGGUCCUUGGUUGAGAAUAUGGAAUAGCUCCCUUCUGUCGAAAGUCAAGGAUUUUCUUUGGCGUGGCUUGAAAGUUUUUAUUCCUUGCAUAUUGUGCUCUUGUGUCUUCGGUGUGGUCAAAUUGAGUCUCUCAACCAUGUUUUAUUUGAAUGCCCACUUGCAGUCCAAGUUUGGCAGCGAGGUAAUAUUGAUUUAUCCAGUGUUAAUGAGACCGAGUUAUUGAUUUAUCUGCUGAAUAUUGCGGAUUAUGACAAGUUCGAAACAAGGGCAGCUGCUCACAUCGUCUAAUUUGCGUUGUCUAACAAGCAGGACUGGGAGGUUUCGAAAUGGCGUUUGCGUAGAGUUCAAGCACCUAUUAUGGCAGACCAGACUGUUCAUGGAACUAAUGCUGU
rnacentral:lncRNA from 1 species